rnacentral:rRNA from 1 species
AUUGAACGCUGGCGGCAGGCCUAACACAUGCAAGUCGAGCGAGCGGCGGACGGGUGCGUAAUGCCUGGGAAUUGCCCAGUCGAGGGGGAUAACAGAUGGAAACGACUGCUAAUACCGCAUACGAUUGGAUUGCCCAGGUGGGAUUAGCUAGUUGGUGAGGUAAUGGCUCACCAAGGCGACGAACCCUAGCUGGUCUGAGAGGGUGAUCAGCCAAAGUCGAACAUAGACACGGUCCAGACUCCUAUGGGAGGCAGCAGAGGGGAAUAUUGCACAAUGGGUGAAACCCUGAUGCAACCAUGCCGCGUGUGUGAAGAAGGCCUUCGGGUUGUAAAGCACUUUCAGCGAGGAGACGUUACUCGCAGAAGAAGCACCGGCUAACUCCGUGCCAGCAGCCGCGGUAAUUC